CACCUAAAAAAAAGUAAACUUGUUUUUUGCCACCUGAAAAACGAAAAAAUAGAUGAAAUCUUUAUGCGUGACUUCCUAUUACAAUUCCCCUUCAAUUUUUUACCCCCACUUUGUGAUUUUCUUUAACUCUUUCACCUUUAUAUCUUUAUUUUUAUUAAAUUUUAUUAAUUUAAUGAAUUAAUAGUGGUGUAAAAUUAUGUGAAUUUAUGGAAGAUAAAAAAGUGGGGGAAAAGAAGAGAGUCAAAUACAUGAAAUAGUUGAAGAAGAGAACAUAUCAUAAAUAUUACCAUUAUUGUGGCCUUCCACAUAACAUUUUCAUCUAUUUUUCCAUUAAUCAGGUGGUAAAAAACAAGUUUUAAAAAAAAAUAGGUGGUAAAAUACAAGUUUUAGUUUUUUAGGUGGUAAAAAAUAAUAUUUUGUUUUUUUAGGUGGUAAAAAACAAUUUAUCCUAAUCCUACCCCUUUAAAAAGCAAGGAGUGCCUUCCAAACUCCCCCUUAAGAAUAGUGGAAUGACCUCCAUACCCUUACAUUCCUUCAGGAUUUACCGAUAUGCCAUUUCCUUUCCUUACACACAUGAUCGGCCAACUGUCUGUUUUCAUUAAGCAAGAACCCCUUCUCCCACUUCUCUGCUUCAGUGCUUCCUUUCUUCUUUCUUUCACCCGUGUUUCAACAAACCCUAGCUCUGUCCCCAUCUUCUCUCUCCUCCCCCAUUCUUCUUUAUCUCUCCUUCAUUGUUCUGUCUUGCUACAUCCAUCUUCUGAUAUUCCAACCAAUAUGUUUUCUCUCACCUUCUAACUCCUCUACUGCUUUCAGAAUGCUUCCCAUUUUCUAUCUGCUACUAAUAUAUCUUCUGUUCAGGAUUCAUCACGGCAAGAACGAAAUACGAAAGGAAUGAAACCCGAGAAGCCAAGACAAUUCCAUGGCGAGCUCUUGACCCGUUUUCCUGCAAGGUAUCAAAGAAAGAUAAACGAAGAAAAUGAGGCAUUGGUUGUGGCAUUGAAUACCGAGAGUUUGCGGAAAUCCUCAAUCAUUGCCACAGUUUCCUUCUCGAAUUCAAGUUAGAUUUAUGAGAAUUGAAGACGUUAAUAAGUGAAUAACAAUUCAAAGAAUGGUGACAUUAAGAUAAUUCAAAAUCUCAGUGGUUCUCAUUACAGCUCCUUUUAAAUUCUACGGAGUACUGCAUAAGGUGGGAUAAAGAGAUAUAAGGGGGGAUUGCACUUUUCUUUUUCUGGAUUCUAACUUACUAAAAGAAUUGGGGGGAGGAGAAAUAGACGGCAAAAUCUAAAGUUCUCAAAUCUCUCUCUGCCUGUCAAGUUAUAUAAAACUCUCUCCCUAGAAGAAGAACAACAGGCACUCAAAUCAAACGUGCCGUUCCAUUCUAGAAGAUCAACCUUGGACGAGAUCAAGCUCGAAGGCCCUUAUUCAAGAAGAUCAAACAACCCGUUCGCGAGCAACAUCAAAUCGACAUCAAAUUAUCCUGGUGGAAGAAGAACAACAAACAUACAAAAUGACGUGCCGUUCUAUUCUACACCAACAUUCUUGAACGAGAUCAAGCCCGAAGUCCCUUAUUCAAGAAUCAAAUACAAUCAGUUCGCGAACCAAAUCAAAUCAGUUUGUGAGCCAAGUCAAAUUCAACGUGGAGAUCGAAUCAGAGGAACAAAUAUUAGAGAUUGUACCCGAAAUACAUAAAUCAAUAAAAUAUAUUUUGUUCACAUUAUUUUGAGUUUAUUACUUUUAUAGACUCUGAAAUUUGUGUUUACACGUACGUAUAAAGUCAAUACAAACACGAAUUUAACCAAACUAUAU